GUUUUACCUCUCUUAGACCUCAUUUAAGGGCUGACUGCCACCCUAGGAGGAUCUCUUCUAGAAUAGAUCCUUCCCUUGUGGAGUUUUUCCUGUGAGCAUAGAUCUUCAGAGACAGGAAGUAAAAAAUUUGCUCUUGGCUUUUAGUACCAGCAAAGAAGAAUCCUUUCCACCGUGGCUCAGAACAAGCUGGUCAGACAGCACAAAGUGAUACAAUUCUCAGGAAGAUGCUUACCACACACACUUGCUAAGUUUCUAGUUUUCCACCUACUGAAGAAGUGCAAGUAACAUCUGAUCAGCUGUAGCUUAACAUCCAGGGACUCUGCUCACGAGAUUCUUGAGGAUGAUAACAGAUGGGGGCUUCCAUCUGGACCAGAAUAGCACUGAAGGUUGAUCUCAGCAUGGUACAUCCCACACUGCGAAGCAUUCACCAAGAUGCUCAGCAGACCAAACUUCAUGUGCAAGGGGCCCAUCCUCUGAAAUAGCUUCUUGAUUAGUGCAUUUGAGCUCGGCUUAUCUGCCAGGAAGGAAGGAAAGAAGAAUAUCCUCUUGCUCCUUUGUACCUCCUCAUAUUCCAACUCAACACUCUACUUUGAUGCGUUGCUCUAAGAAAUCCUUGGUCCACAGCUAGAAGAUAUCAGCUGAGUUCUGUUCCUCAAUGCUGGAAUGUGAAAACUGCGAUAAGAAGCCGUCGUCUGUCUUCACUUUUGUGUAGGCUGAGCAUUUACUGCAAAAGACUGCAGUGGCUUGUCCAAGUCUUCUUUCAAAACGUCUAUCUGCACCAACCCCUACACACAUUGGCAGUUCCAUUGCUCAGAUCCUGCUGACCUGCAGGCAUAGAGUUCAGUCCUCAGCCAGCACAACAGUCAGGCACCGAUGUUCCCAAUGCCACUCUUCUGCUGGGAAGAAAAUUGAGCUUGGUGGAAAAACAACAUGCCCAGAAAAGGAACCUGCCCUUUCUCCUAUUCUGAAAACAAGAAAGCUGUGGAUUUGUUUCAUCAGCAUAACCUAAAAACAGCUGACAUUGUGUCUUUGAAUACCAAGGCCAAGGGCCAGAGGAUUCUAUGCAAAGAAGGAACACGCUAGCAGAGGACACUACAACUUGCAUUUUCUUACUAUCAGGUUGCUGUCUCCCAAACAAGAUGUCUUUCUAGCAUUUAAAAAGCUAAAGACUGUAAUAUGAAAGGUUACAAAGCAGUAAAGAGAAGUGACAGAAAAACCCCUCUGACAAUCCUGCACACAACAUUCUGGCUAACUGAUUAGGUGAUGAAUCCAGUCUGAUGUACUCAAACUUAUGGACUUCUGUUAACUCCUAGGGGACAGAAGCAUUUCAGCUUUCUUUAGCAAUUCAUCUAAAACGUGAGCAGGAAAUUCAGCUCCAGCCUGGAAUGCAAAAGACAAAUUUCCUUUGAAGCCAAGUCUCCUCUCCAAAUGCAGCCCUGAGAACUACUUUUUUGCAUUUUUGCAGCCUAUUGCGUCGUGUAUUACUUACCGCUUUGAAAACAUAUUAAUAUUUCAGAGACACGCUUGAGUGUAUUUGCCUAUGUAUCAGUGAUAGACCACUUAAAGAUCUUUUUCUUUUUUUAAAUCUCAUUGUUCAA